GGAUUAAUAAUGUAAGAUUAAAGAUACCCUGCCUGCGUGGAAAGAGCUUUAUGUGAGGGGUUUUUAUUUAUUUAUGAAGUUUUUUUUGUUUUUUUGAGAAUCAGUAUUAAGGAAAAAUAAUAUAAUUGUUUUUAAAGGGCUGGUGAAAAGAACAGGAAAAAGACCAAACAAAAACAGAAAACUGGAAGAUCUGCCCGUGACAUAAGGAAAUCAAUGAAAAAUGAUGCACGAGAAAAUCAAACAGAUACCGCUCAAAGAGCCACCACCACUUACGAUUUUGAUUGUGAUAACUUGGAACUGAAGAGUAAUAAGCACAGUGAGUCACCAGGAGCUACAGAAUUAAACAUGUGCCACAGUAAUUGCCAAAAUAAACCAACAUUAAGGUUCCCAGAUGACCAAAUAAAUAAUACUAUUCAAAAUGGA
rnacentral:sRNA from 1 species